UACGAAGGGGGCUAGCGUUGUUCGGAAUUACUGGGCGUAAAGGGCGCGUAGGCGGUGUGUCAAGUCAGGCGUGAAAGCCCCGGGCUCAACCUGGGAACCGCGCUUGAGACUGGCACGCUAGAGUUCGGGAGAGGAUGGUGGAAUUCCCAGUGUAGAGGUGAAAUUCGUAGAUAUUGGGAAGAACACCGGUGGCGAAGGCGGCGACCUGGUCCGAUACUGACGCUGAGGCGCGAAAGCUAGGGGAGCAAACGGG
rnacentral:rRNA from 1 species